rnacentral:rRNA from 1 species
UGCUUAACACAUGCAAGUCGAACGAAUUUAUGAGUUUCGAUUCAUAAGUUAGUGGCAGACGGGUGAGUAACGCGUGGGAAUGUACCAUUUGGUUCGGAAUAACUACGGGAAACUGUAGCUAAUACUGGAUAAGCCCGAGAGGGGAAAGAUUUAUCGCCAAAUGAGCAGCCCGCGUUAGAUUAGGUAGUUGGUGGGGUAAUGGCCUACCAAGCCUGCGAUCUAUAGCUGGUCUGAGAGGAUGAUCAGCCACACUGGGACUGAGACACGGCCCAGACUCCUACGGGAGGCAGCAGUGGGGAAUAUUGGACAAUGGGCGAAAGCCUGAUCCAGCCAUGCCGCGUGAGUGAUGAAGGCCUUAGGGUUGUAAAGCUC